rnacentral:rRNA from 1 species
GACGAACGCUGGCGGCGUGCCUAAUACAUGCAAGUCGAACGAGAGCGACCGGUGCUUGCCCUGGUCAAUCUAGUGGCGAACGGGUGAGUAACACGUGGGUAACCUGCCCAUCAGAGGGGGAUAACAUCCGGAAACGGAUGCUAAAACCGCAUAGGUCUUCGAGCCGCAUGGCUUGAAGAGGAAAAGAGGCGCAAGCUUCUGCUGAUGGAUGGACCCGCGGUGCAUUAGCUAGUUGGUGAGGUAACGGCUCACCAAGGCCGUGAUGCAUAGCCGACCUGAGAGGGUGAUCGGCCACAUUGGGACUGAGACACGGCCCAAACUCCUACGGGAGGCAGCAGUAGGGAAUCUUCCGCAAUGGACGCAAGCCUGACGGAGCAACGCCGCGUGAGUGAAGAAGGUUUUCGGAUCGUAAAACUCUGUUGUUAGAGAAGAACAAGUGCUAGAGUAACUGUUAGCGCCUUGACGGUAUCUAACCAGAAAGCCACGGCUAACUACGUG